GUCUUUUCAAGAUAAUUUUCAGCCAAUGAGACCAGUGGGUGCGGUCAAUUAUUACGUCAUUAUAAUCGCUGCAUUCCAUAGAACGUUCGGUGAGUAGUCUAUAAAUAUGAGUGCAGAUGCAUCAUGCGUUUUGUAGCGAGUUUUGGCGAGUGAUCGUGAGUAUGCUCUUUACAUCUAAAUUAGAUUUUUUUGUUUAAUAUUUUAAUAACUUAGAGAAAAAUCUGCCUUGUAAUAAAUAAACAUGUGUGCUACACAGUGGAGGUCCGUCAUGGAGACUGAUAUAUAAAUUAAUAAUGAUGAAAGCUAUAUGACUGAUUUGAGUAAUAAGAUUUUUGAACAUAUAGUUUACAACAUUUUGCAGUAAAUCAAAGGAACAAAUCUUGUGGUGCCAAAUACAGACUAUGACCGUUUUAAACAUUUAUUCAUAAAUAUAGAGCUCUGUAGACAAAAUCCACCCCUCCUUUAUUAUGAUAAAUUCUGAAUACUGAAAGCUUUAAUAGUUUAAUAGUUAUCUCUUACAAUGAUCAUAAGGAGGUAUACAUUUACAUUAUAAGCAUCUGAGUUCUGCACAUUAAUUGGUAAAAUAAUAUUAAUAAAAACUCCACUUGUGGACCCCCACUGUGCAUGGACACUGUAAAACUGUACCUGUAAAAGAAAAAGAACUAACAUCACCAACCUCCAGGCUCUUAAAUGUUUACUAUUAUAUAUCGAUUGCCUUUCUCUUUUCUGCCACAGUAUUUUACAGAUAUAAAGACAAAGGCAGUAUUGUUCAUUUCUUUGAUUAUAUUUCACCAUCGAAUCACACAUCAGCAUGACUAUGUCAACCAUCCCCACCAGUUUUGUUGAGAGUGCAGUGCAGUCCUCAUCUUCUGAGCUCUUAGAUGAGCUCACCACUGCCCUCGCUGCAGGACGGUGGUGGGCAAUAAUGGAGGUCUCCUCUCCUUUAUCUGAGGAGCCUGAAUAUGGGGACCUCACCUCACUCAGGUCCCUGUACUCAAGCUUCUCAGAUGCAACACUGAGUGCACCCAUACCUCCCAGGUCCCAAAAGGGAGCACCUGUGCCUGCCUAUGCUGAGAAGAGGGACCACACCUCGUCCCUGGUCUUCAACAAUGCAUCGGAGAAGUCUCUGCACUCAGGCUUCUCAGAUGCAAAGCUGAAGACCACGGAGCAACAGAGGAAGUGGAGGCAGAAGAAGCCUCAGGGAGCACCUGUGCUUGCUGGGUCCGAGAAGGCUGAGUGUGGGAACUUACUGAAGACCACUAAGCAGGUGAGGCAAGAGUGGAGACAGAAGAAGCCUCAGGGAGCACCUGUGCCUGGUGGCUCCCCCCAGGGACAUCCUGUGCCCACUGGGUCCCAACAACGUGGAAAACUCAGGAUCCCUGAACAUCUGAGGCAGCACCUGCUACAGGCCGCUAAUGAACUGGGAGCACCUGUGCCUGCUAGAUCCCCACAGGGACCACCAGUGCCUUCAAAGUUUCUACAAAGAGAACCUGUGCCUGUCUCAAAGGUGCAAAAAUUAAAGAUCCCUGAGCCACUAAGGCAGAAGCUGCAGCAGCAGAAGCCUCAAGCCUCUUCUGACAAGGGAGCACCUGUACUCAACAAGACCCCAGAGAGGCAGAGGCUAAAAAUCCUUGAGCCACUGAGGCAAGAGCUGCUGCAGCUGUCGCACCGAGCCUCAUCUGUGAAGGGAGAACUUAUGCCUCAAAAGACCCAGGAGAAGCAGAGGCUCAAGAUACCUGAGCAGCUGAGGCAGGAGCUGCUGCAGGUGUCACCCAGACCCUCUUCUGAGAAGGGAGCACCUGUACCCAACAAGACCCCAGAGAGGCAGAGGCUAAAAAUCUCUGAGCCGCUGAGGCAGGAGCUGCUGCAGGUGUCACCCAGAGCCUCUUCUGAGAAAGGAGCACCCGUACCCAACAAGACCCCAGAGAGGCAGAGGCUGAAAAUCCCUGAGCCGCUGAGGCAGGAGCUGCUGCAGCUGUCGCACCGAGCCUCAUCUAUGAAGGGAGAACUUGUGCCUCAAAAGAGCCAGGAGAAGCAGAGGCUCAAGAUACCUGAGCAGCUGAGGCAGGAGCUGCUGCAGGUGUCACCCAGAGCCUCUUCUGAGAAGGGAGCACCCGUGCCCAUAAAGACUGCAGAGAGGCAAAGGCUUAAAAUACCAGAGCCGCUGAGGAAGGAAUUGCUCCAGCAGAAGCCCCAAGCCUCUCCUGCAGAUGAUAAACCUGUGUCUUCCAAGUCCCCACAGGAAGUACCUUUACCUGACAGGAACCCUGUACAUACCGGGACCUCACAGGGAGCAGGAGUGCUUGCCAGUUCUCCACUGCCCACUGGGUGUCUGAAGGAAGCAGCAGUGCCCACCAGAACCACAAAGGCAGGAAAACGGAGGCUUGCUGAGCAUCUGAGCAUGCCUGUCUCUUCCACCCAGGGAUUAUCUAUGCCCUCCAGGACCUCAAAAGUGGCGCCUGUGUAUUCUGGGACCUUACAGGGAGCACUUGUGACAAGAAGCUCCCCACGACAGGGAGCAAACCCUAGAAUCACAGAGCAGCAGAAGCAGAAGCGGAGGGAGCAGUGGAGACAGCAGCAGAGACAGCGGAGGCAGCAGAAGGCAUCAGUAAGUUCUUUCCAUUUCUGAUUUUUAUUUAUUUUGAGAUUUACGUCUGCAGUCUUCACCUAAGCUACUAUGUUAUCUAGGUCAUUUAUUUAAAAUCUCAUGACUUUAUAUUUCAAAAUGAUAGAAAGAUAUAUGGUUAUGUCUGUUUCUUCAACAGGACAAUAUAGAUGUGUGUGAGCCUCCGCAAAAAAUACUCUGUGUGGAAAUCGACAAGGUGCCACUGAAGCCUAAACUGGGGAGGCAGAACCAUCAAGCCCCACAGCCCAUGUCCCAGCUCACCCUGAAGAUGGUUAGUCCCUUCUAUCCCACAGUUUUACUUAGACUUAUUUAAAAACAUAAGCACUAAAGAUUCUAUUUUCCGAAUCCGCUAUUUAAAACUGUAUGUAUUAUAUUUCAAUAUGUAAGUUAGUCUGUAAUGAGUAUCAUAUCCUUUUCAAUUCAUAAUCCUCCCUGAUUCUGAAAUGGUAGAAGCAAUAUGUCUUUAGAUAUCCUCAAAGAAUCACUCAUUAAAUCUGCUUAGUGUUACAUCAUUAUGUCUGUGCCUUCAACAGGACAAUGUAAGUGUGAGCUGGUCACCUCCAGAAAAAAGGGAGCGCAUGGUGAGCAAAAUCAGAGACCAACAACUGGGGCCAGGCAGCUUAAAGCAUUUAUGUAGUAUAUUCAUAUGUUUAAUGGAAUAUAUUUAAAUAUUUAGUAUUUAUGUGUAUUGUGUUUGGAUUGAUUUAAUAUGAUUGUGCGUAUAAUAAAAAAUAAAAUCUAAACUUUGCA
ensembl:lncRNA